UACAGAGGUCUCAAGCGUUGUUCGGAUUCAUUGGGCGUAAAGGGUGCGUAGGCGGCGCGGUAAGUCGGGUGUGAAAUCUUGGAGCUUAACUCCGAAACUGCAUUCGAUACUGCCGUGCUUGAGGACUGGAGAGGAGACUGGAAUUUACGGUGUAGCGGUGAAAUGCGUAGAUAUCGUAAGGAAGACCAGUGGCGAAGGCGGGUAGCUGGGCCGACACUGACGCUGAGGCGCGAAAGCCAGGGGAGCGAACGGG
rnacentral:rRNA from 1 species